rnacentral:rRNA from 1 species
AGAGUGAACGCUGGCGGCAGGCCUAACACAUGCAAGUCGAACGGCAGCACGAGAGAGCUUGCUCUCUUGGUGGCGAGUGGCGGACGGGUGAGGAAUACGUCGGAAUCUGCCUUUUUGUGGGGGAUAACGUAGGGAAACUUACGCUAAUACCGCAUACGACCUACGGGUGAAAGCGGAGGACCUUCGGGCUUCGCGCAGAAAGAUGAGCCGACGUCGGAUUAGCUAGUUGGAGGGGU